AGCUUGCGCUACAGUGACAAGGAAACUGUCAGAGCAAUUGCCACGACGACUGCUUCCGCUUCCGUUUCCACCCCCUUCUCCCUCCUCCCCGAUCCUGCCCACUGCUGCGCAGGCGGCCUUCUCCUUCCUUUCCAGGCCCGCCCACCGCCGCGCACGCGUCCUUUACCUCCUCUCUGGCCUCUCCCACCACCGAGCACGCGUCCUUUUCCCUCCUUUCCGGUCCCGCCCACCGCCGAGCACGAGUCUCUGGGCGCAGGGGACAAUAGAGAGUCUCUGAAGACCUGGAAUAGGGGAGUGACAUGAAUAAAUAAAAAAGCAGAACAUGGACUUGGAACAGAAGCAGGAAGACAGCAGUUAUUCUGCUCUGGCCAUUAUGAACCAGCUUCAGAAGAAACACCCAACCUUCUCAGCAACCUCCCUCUGAGUGACUAUGGCUGGAAGUUCAGACUAAGUGAGAACCUGUACUGUCACUGAAGGGCCUUCUAUGGAGCAGGGGCUAAAUGAAGUCUACUGGAAUUGCCAACAGAAGCAAGACCACAGUGUUAUUGCCCAGGUCAGGUCCUUGCAAAGAGUGAGCAGACUCCUAACUGUGGAUGAACUGAAAGCUUGCAGAUCACCAUUCUGAAACUGCUCCUGAAAUCCUUCAACACAACCCUCCGGAAGAAAGCUGAAGCAGGACCCUAGAGGAUACAAAAUGGGACCAAACAAUCCCUGUAAAAGUAUACAGACCCAUGCUCUAACACAAAGUCUCAAUUUGGAAAGUAAGGCUGGGGGGCAGUUAGGUGGCUUCGAUGAUUGAAAGCCAGGCAUGGAGACAGGGAAUCCUGGAUUCAAAUUUGAAUUUAGAGACACUUCCUAGGUAUGUGACCCGGGGCAAGUCACUUAACCCUAAUUGCCUAGUCUUUACUGCUCUUUUGCCUUGAAACUGACACUUAGUAUUGAUUGGAAGAUGGAAAGUAAGGGGUUAAAAAAUAUGGCUGAAAGAAUGAGUAAACACAAACAAAAAAGGAAUCACCCUAUAAAAAUAUUGACAGACACCCAAGAUACAAAUCUAGAAGAGAAUGAUUGAAACACAAAAGCUCAAAGAGAAACAAAUUAAACUAGAAAUCCUGGGAGAAAUAAAGCUAAAGUUUUUGUUUUUUUUUUUUAAUUA
rnacentral:lncRNA from 1 species